UCUGCUCAGAACAGCUGUGUCCU
rnacentral:piRNA from 1 species